CCGUUUUUUGCUCUUCGAAUUACUUCUACUUCAUCUUGCUUCUUCUUCUUCUGUUUUCAAAUUCUAUGCUCUGCGAUGAUGAUGAUGAUGAUGAUGCGUAGACUGUGAUGAAGUGCUGACAAAUGGUGAUGGAGCAAAGGUUUAGCACUAGCUUAUUGAAGUUCUAAUGGUGAACUUCAAUAGCUCUGGGAACGUGUGUAUGGUGAGGUUGGUGAUGAAUUGCAGAGAGUGUGAGGAUAAGGAAAAGAUGAUGAAUGAGUUGUAGAACAGAAGGAGAAAAUGAAGAUUUGGUGGAGAUUGAAGUGUGGUGGAGUGAUGCGUGAAUCUGAAAGUUGUAGAGAGAGUUGAAGGGAGAAGAUGAUGAAGAUGGUGAUUGUAUAAGAAAUGGCGUGAGAAAAAAAUGAACUUGAAGUAAUGAUUCUGUUAUAUAGAGUUUGAAGGGGAGAAAGUUAGUUAGAGAGGAGAGAUGUGAGCCAUUGGAUUGGUGAAGUUUGUUAGAGAUGAAGAAGUCUGAGCUGUUGGAUUGAGAGAUUCUGUUAUGAAACUGAGGGUUGAGAUUAAAGGUUUUUUGGAUGCUACUUAAAAGAAGCUUGAACAUGCUAGUGAUGAGGUUUAUGGCAUGGAGCUGAAAGUGUAAUGAACGUAGCACGGUUGUGGAUCACCCUUAAUAUGGCAGCUCGUUGGCAAGGCAUCAUAGCAGGUGAUCGAAUUGACUGUGCAGCAUUGUUUGGAACCGAUUUAGGCAUUUGAAGAUGGAUGGCUGCUUGAAUUUCUGAACUUGGUCUUUUUCUCUUUAUGUUAUGGAUAAGUUUUGUAACCGUCAGCUUGAUAUUGUAUUUGGAUGAUGGACCCACUGCAGGCUGUUUUUGUAAGUUUAAUAUGGUCAUUUUAAUGUGUACAUGUAUGUCUUAUGCAGGGGAGGAUGUAGUGAAUAGUGCCGGGCUGCAACUGAAUAUGUAGCAGCAGGGUGAUUCAAUCAUGAUGGAAGCAACCCUUUUAUAGGUGAUGAACUCUUGGAGAUUGGAAGGAGAUAAGUCUAGAAGGGACAAAGCAGAUGGUGAACAUGUACAGCGUGUAAUGAGAAACUGUAUUGAAUGUUUUGUAAUGGGGAUUGGACUUUGAUGUAAUAUGAUUGCUGUACGUAUCUUUUUGUAGUUUUAAGUAACUUUGUAUGUAUUUUAAUGAAGUGUAAUGUCAAGUGUAUAGAAGUACAAUGCAGUUGGUCUUUGCAGUGAGAAUUGAAACGGCGUGUGAUGGCCUUCACUAAGUGAUGUAAUUGAAUCCGUUCUUGCAAAUACAAUGAAAUUUGAUAAUGGGAUUCGUGUA